GCUCCUAUCGUUUAAUGGUUUAAGACAGUACUUUUUCGUAGUGUAAAUGUGAGUUCGAAUCUCACUAGGAGUA
rnacentral:tRNA from 1 species